UCGCAAGCGUUAUCCGGAUUCAUUGGGCGUAAAGCGCUCGUAGGCGGCCUGCUAGGUCGGGAGUCAAAUGCGGGGGCCCAACCCCCGGCCGCUCCCGAUACCGGCGGGCUUGAGUUUGGUAGGGGAAGGCGGAAUUCCCGGUGUAGCGGUGGAAUGCGCAGAUAUCGGGAAGAACACCGGUGGCGAAGGCGGCCUUCUGGGCCACAACUGACGCUGAGGAGCGAAAGCUGGGGGAGC
rnacentral:rRNA from 1 species